GUGAUAAUUGGCCGCUAAUGUAUGCAUAUUCCGCCAAUACACAAUGCAACACACUGCUCAUGUCCUGUUGUUUCAAGGGCAUCUGUAAGGGUAUUUCAAGCCCUUUACACGUCCUGUACACAAGAAUGGUGCAUUUCCGCGAAAUUCUAGGACAUGUAAAGGACUGCACACUUCUCGUUCGCAGGCAGGACACCUCAGGGUUUUGAAGGACACGGACAAUUUCCAGGGAUGUAUUCUAGACUUGCAAAAAUGCAAGGAAUACCGAUGUCGCUUUUAAAGGUAGAACACGGAUCAAAAGCGAAAUGUCUGGCCCUGCUACUUGUCGGUGUAUUUGCAUUCUAUAUCUGCGUUAUGGAAACAGUCGAACAAUUAGGGAAUUCACAGACAAAAACAGCAACUUUGAUCAUUUGUGAAAAGGUACACAGCUCCAAGCACAAUUGUCGUCCUCCAAACUUAACAGUACUUAAACGGGCCGAAGAGGACCAGGCAAACAGACUUACAAUCUUAAAACGGUAUUGUAAGGAUAAUCCUUCAAAUAAAACGGUUAGUCACUUUCAUUAUCACAUUCAUCUAAAAAUCCGUUGUCUUGAAUUUAAUUCCCUUUAGUUCAACGAGUUAUGGGAUAUGUUACAUGAAAUGUGUGAUUUAACCCUAUCCAGAGAAGACAUUUUGUCAAUCAAGGACGCGGGGUGUGCAAAGCUCCUGUAAUUCUUAAAUGGAUAUAUGACACUAUAGUAUAGGCACUAUAGGAAAUUUGACACUAUAGUUGCGAAAUGUGUCAAAGUUUUGGUGUAAUCUGACAUCAUUUUAUCUAAGACUAGUUGAGAUCCGUCAUCUUAUACUCAACAACUUGAAUUUUCAGCGAACAAUGGUUAAAGACUUCGGAAAUUAACUAAAAACGUAAGGAAAAAAAUCAGGUGGUUGCAAAGGUAGCAUGUUAAGCUAUUGUGAAAUUUUUGCCGUGGCUGAUGGUGUCAUCAAAGAAACAAUGUCUUUUUAUACACCUUAUUAUGAAUUAUAACAUAGUUAACACAUAUACUCUAUUUAUGUGAAAAUAACAGUAAUAUGGCAAAUAAACAGAAAAUAUACAUUGUUAGAAUGGAAAAUAGCGAUUUUCGUAAAACGCCUGACAACGGUUAACUUGGUGACAUGAAAAAGGAAAGUUUUCUAAUAUAUAGGAAAAGUUACAUAUAAAAAAUUUGUGUCAAUAAUUCAUGUAGUUUAAAAAAUGCUUUUUUUUCGUGUACCGCAUUAUACCUCUUAAGGCCGUCCAUCCAAUUGCAAGGUCAAUAGGUGAAGUAGAAAUAGUAGAAAUUGCAGCCAAGGAUAACCCUACCGGCCCUGUUUUGGAGUUUCUUCGGUUUGUCUAUGUGAACUUAGCUGCCUUGAUCCCAGACAGAAGUACAGCACUGUGUGUAAGUAUGGAAUGAAAAGGGAUAUAUAUACACUUAUUUAAGGAUUGUUUGUUGAGGAAAGGCUUCAGGCACUUCAUGACGCCAAAGACUUGCCUUUUCAUGUUUAU